rnacentral:rRNA from 1 species
CCCUUAGAUGUCCUGGGCUGCACGCGCGCUACACUGAUGUGUCCAGUAAGCACCUAACCUAUUCCGAGAGGAGCGGGUAACCUUAGCAAAGCACAUCGUGAUGGGGAUAGAUUAUUGCAAUUAUUAGUCUUGAACGAGGAAUUCCUAGUAAACGCAAGUCAUCAGCUUGCAUUGAUUACGUCCCUGCCCUUUGUACACACCGCCCGUCGCUCCUACCGAUUGAAUGAUCCGAUGAAUAUCAUGGAUUGAGGAUUAUAGCAGGUUCGCCUGUCUUGAUCUUCGAGAAGUGAAGUAAUUCUUAUCAUUUAGAGGAAGGAGAAGUCGUAACA